rnacentral:rRNA from 1 species
GAUGAACGCUGGCGGCGUGCCUAAUACAUGCAAGUCGAGCGAACAGACGAGGAGCUUGCUCCUCUGACGUUAGCGGCGGACGGGUGAGUAACACGUGGAUAACCUACCUAUAAGACUGGGAUAACUUCGGGAAACCGGAGCUAAUACCGGAUAAUAUCUUGAACCGCAUGGUUCAAUAGUGAAAGACGGUUUUGCUGUCGGUUGUCGAUGGAUCCGCGCCGCAUUAGCUAGUUGGUAGAGUAGUGGCUUACCACGGCAACGAUGGGUAGCCGACAUGGGAGGGGGACCGGGGACAAGGGUCCUGAGAGAGGGACCAGACGGGAAUGUUCGGCAGUGGGGGAGAAUUUUACGGAAUGGGCGGAAGUGAGAGGCAGAGGUGUCGGGUUCGUAAAAAUCUGUUAUGGGGUAAAAACAAAUUUGGAAGUAACUGUACAGUGCGUGACGGUACUGAGUAAAAAAGCACCGGCUAACUACGUG